rnacentral:rRNA from 1 species
UGGGGAAUAUUGCACAAUGGGCGCAAGCCUGAUGCAGCCAUGCCGCGUGUAUGAAGAAGGCCUUCGGGUUGUAAAGUACUUUCAGCGGGGAGGAAGGCGAUAAGGUUAAUAACCUUGUCGAUUGACGUUACCCGCAGAAGAAGCACCGGCUAACUCCGUGCCAGCAGCCGCGGUAAUACGGAGGGGGCAAGCGUUAAUCGGAAUUACUGGGCGUAAAGCGCACGCAGGCGGUCUGUCAAGUCGGAUGUGAAAUCCCCGGGCUCAACCUGGGAACUGCAUUCGAAACUGGCAGGCUAGAGUCUUGUAGAGGGGGGUAGAAUUCCAGGUGUAGCGGUGACAUGCGUAGAGAUCUGGAGGAAUACCGGUGGCGAAGGCGGCCCCCUGGACAAAGACUGACGCUCAGGUGCGAAAGCGUGGGGAGCAAACA